rnacentral:rRNA from 1 species
CAGAAUGAACGCGGGCGGCAUGGAUUAGGCAUGCAAGUCGAGCGCGUACCUGGUUUCGGCCAGGGAAAGCGGCGAAAGGGUGAGGAACACGUGAGCAACCUGCCUCGAAGCCCGGGAUAGCCUCUGGAAACGGAGAUUAAUACCGGAUGUGGGUUCCCGGCGCAUGCCGGGAUACCUAAAGAUUUAUCACUUCGAGAGGGGCUCGCGUCCCAUAAGCUAGUUGGCGGGGUAACGGCCCACCAAGGCGAUGACGGGUAGCUGGUCUGAGAGGAUGGUCAGCCACACUGGGACUGAGACACUGCCCAGACUCCUACGGGAGGCUGCAGUCGAGAAUCUUCCGCAAUGGGCGAAAGCCUGACGGAGCGAUGCCGCGUGAGGGAUGAAGGUCUUCGGAUUGUAAACCUCUGUCACCCGGGAAGAACACAAUGACGGUACCGGGAGAGGAAGCCAUGGCUAACUACGUGCCAGCAGCCGCGGUAAUACGUAGAUGGCAAGCGUUAUUCGGAUUUACUGGGCGUAAAGGGUUCGCAGGAGGUUUGCCAAGUCCGGUGUGAAAGCCCACCGCUCAACGGUGGAAUGGCGCUGGAUACUGGCGGACUAGAGAGCGUCAGAGGAGUGUGGAAUUCCUGGUGUAGCGGUGGAAUGCGUAGAUAUCAGGAAGAACACCAAUGGCGAAGGCAGCACUCUGGGGCGCUUCUGACUCUCAGGAACGAAAGCGUGGGGAGCAAACAGGAUUAGAUACCCUGGUAGUCCACGCCCUAAACGGUGAGUACUCGAUGUGGGAGGAAUUAGCCCCUUCCGUGUCUUAGCUAACGCGUUAAGUACUCCGCCUGGGGACUACGGCCGCAAGGCUAAAACUCAAAG